rnacentral:rRNA from 1 species
AACGUGGGUAACCUGCCCAAGAGACUGGAAUAACACCUGGAAACAGAUGCUAAUACCGGAUAACAACACUAGACGCAUGUCUAGAGUUUAAAAGAUGGUUCUGCUAUCACUCUUGGAUGGACCUGCGGUGCAUUAGCUAGUUGGUAAGGUAACGGCUUACCAAGGCAAUGAUGCAUAGCCGAGUUGAGAGACUGAUCGGCCACAUUGGGACUGAGACACGGCCCAAACCCCUACGGGAGGCAGCAG